CUGUCACGUCUUUCGGGUUCUGGGUGACGCAGCUGAGUAGCGUUACGGCUCGUUAGCCACGGGAUCAAAACGGCCGUGUCUCACACGCUAGCCCCCCUUCCCUGCGACACGCUACGGCAGCUCGGAAAGGUUGAGCGGACUUCUGGAGGCUCUGAGCGGCGUGUGUGAUAGUGUUUCUGUGCCCCUCUGCUGUUUGGGAUAUUGAGAUCGCGGGGGACUGCCGUGGAAGCAGACUUCUGGCACUGCUCAUGCAAGACUGCUGCUCAAAUUACACAAGACUGUGACAAUGGCAUCGUGGUAAGUUAAACAUUUAACCAUAAAACAAUGUCAAAAUGCCUAAUCAGCAAAUCAAGUUGCCAACACUCAACCACAAACCAUCAAAGAAUAUAACUAUUAUAUGAUGAAAGUAGAACAUCGUUUGUUAUGCUGCACGUUCCAGGCAGAUAUAUUGUCAUUCCUGUAUAACACAUUACCAUGCAACACUGCCUCUAAAUGAAAAAAUAAAUGAGCAGUCUUCAUAAUGACUCCAUCAUGUUUCAGUUCAAACACAAAUAUUCCACCUCAUUUACUUCUCCUUGCAUCUUCAACUCCAUAUACCUUUUCUUUCUUUCUUCUUUAUUCCAGUCCUCCAUUAAAGCCCUGCGCUGCAGCCUGUUUUUGGCUGACAGUUCAUCUGAGGCAGCAGUAUGGAGCUUGGGAGGAGUUGGAACUGAAAAAAUGUCUAAACUUUAGCUUCAGAUGCCUUUUUAACAUUCAGAGAUAGUCCUCCACCUACCAGAGGGACUAAAAAAAACAACACAAAAAGAAGAAAAAAAACAA